AUGUCGGCGAGCGGCGGACGGGUGAGUGACGCGUAGGAACGUACCCCAAAGUGAGGAAUAACUGCCCGAAAGGGUAGCUAAUGCCGCAUAUGAUCUUCGGAUUAAAGCUUUUAUUAGCGCUUUGGGAGCGGCCUGCGUUCGAUUAGCUAGUUGGUGAGGUAAAGGCUCACCAAGGCGACGAUCGAUAGCUGGUCUGAGAGGAUGAUCAGCCACACUGGAACUGAGAUACGGUCCAGACUCCUACGGGAGGCAGCAGUGAGGAAUAUUCCGCAAUGGGGGAAACCCUGACGGAGCAACGCCGCGUGCAGGAUGAAGGCCCUCGGGUCGUAAACUGCUUUUAUAAGCGAGAAAUAUGAUGGUAACUUAUGAAUAAGGGUCGGCUAACUACGUGCCAGCAGCCGCGGUCAUACGUAGGACCCAAGUGUUAUCCGGAGUGACUGGGCGUAAAGAGUUGCGUAGGCGGCUUGUUAAGCGAGUAGUGAAAUCAUGUGGCUCAACCAUUAUGACUAUUACUUGAACUGGCAGGCUCGAGAGUGGUAGAGGUAACUGGAAUUUCUAGUGUAGGAGUGAAAUCCGUAGAUAUUAGAAGGAACACCAAUGGCGUAGGCAGGUUACUGGACCAUUUCUGACGCUGAGGCACGAAAGCGUGGGGAGCGAACCGGAUUAGAUACCCGGGUAGUCCACGCCGUAAACUAUGGAUGCUAGCUGUGGGGGGUAUCGACCCCCUCCGUAGCGAAGCUAACGCGUUAAGCAUCCCGCCUGUGGAGUACGGUCGCAAGACUAAAACAUAAAGGAAUUGACGGGGAGCCGCACAAGCGGUGGAGCGUGUUCUUUAAUUCGAUGGUAAACGAAGAACCUUACCAGGGCUUGACAUCCUUGGAAUCUCGGCGAAAGUCGAGAGUGCCCUUGGGAGCCAAGUGACAGGUGUUGCAUGGCCGUCGUCAGCUCGUGUCGUGAGAUGUUUGGUUAAGUCCAUCAACGAGCGCAACCCCUAUGAAUAGUUGGAUUUUUCUAUUCAGACUGCCCCGGCAACGGGGAGGAAGGGGGGGAUGAUGUCAGGUCAGUAUUACCCUUACGUCCUGGGCUAGAAACGCGCUACAAUGGCCGGUACAACGGGAAGCCAACCCGCGAGGGGGAGCAAAUCCCAUCAAAACCGGUCUCAGUUCGGAUUGCAGGCUGAAACUCGCCUGCAUGAAGUUGGAAUCGCUGGUAAUCGCAGGUCAGCACACUGCGGUGAAUACGUUCCCGGCUCUUGUACACACCGCCCGUCAAACCAUGAAAGUCACCAACACCCGAAGUCCGAUUCGUCGGCCUAAGGUGGGGGGGAUGAUUGGGGUUAAGUCGUAACAAGGUA
rnacentral:rRNA from 1 species